rnacentral:rRNA from 1 species
AUAGCAGGCCCAAAUAUAUGAUUGUUGUGUGUGGUAAAGCGAAUGAUUAGCAUACUCGGGGUCGUUUAGACUUCGGAUGAUUCUCAAACUUUAAAUGCGCACGGAUGUUGCCGCUUGGGUGGGCGGCAUCUCUAAAAACUUGGGCUUUGUGGGCCACUUUUGGUAAGCAGAACUGGCGAUACGGGAUGAACCGUAAGUGUGGUUAAGGCGUCAAAUUGUCCGCUUAUAGAUUCCAAAAAAGGUGUUGAUUCAUCGAGACAGCAGGACGGUGGCCAUGGAAGUCGGAAUCCGCUAAGGAGUGUGUAACAACUCACCUGCCGAAUGAAUUAGCCCUGAAAAUGGAUGACGCUAAAGCGGGCAGCCGACACCACACCGUUUGGGCAAAAUGAACGUCUAAAUGAGUAGGAGGAACGUGGCGGUCGUGUUGAAGCGUGCGUGCAAACGUGCGUGGAACGGCCGCUAGUGCAGAUCUUGGUGUUAGUAGCAAAUAUUCAAAUGAGAACCUUGAAGGGCGAAGCGGGGAAGGGUUCCACGCGAACAUUGAUUGAGCGUGGGUAAGUCGUUCCUAAGCCGCGUGGCAAUAGCUAAUUACCGGCGAAAGGGAAGCAGGUUGAUAUUCCUGCACACGGAUGUGGAAGCGGUGACGCAUACUUGGGACGGUGAAGCUGGCGAUGGCUCUGGGCAGAGUUUUCUUUUCUGUUUAACUAACUGUGCUUGCAGUGUGGAAUCCGCUUGUCGGGAGAAACACGCGAGUUUGGGAAUAGCGCCGGGUUUUUUUCCGGCGUCCAGAACGCCAUCGUCGGACCUUGAAAAACUGUCUGCAGGCAAUAUUUAAUUGUCUUAUGUAAUCCACGCCGUUACGUACCGAUAACCGCAUCAGGUCCCCAAGGUGAACAGCCUCUGCUCGAUAUGAACAAUGCAGGUAAGGGAAGUCGGCAAAUUGGACCCGUAACUUUGGGAAAAGGGUUGGCUCUAGUGCUGCGUGGGAUACGCUAGUGCGGUGUGAUUUUUGGCGGGAGGUUUUGUUCUUACUGAUGAAGCGCUUGCGUGGAUUUGGCGGGAACUGACAGACUGCUGGGGAGAGCCUGUGUUAGCUACCCACGGUAUGCAGCAAACUAGAACUGCAACGGACAAAGGGAAUCCGACUGUUUAAUUAAAACAAAGCAUUGCGAAGGCCAUGGGCUGGUGUUGACGCAAUGUGAUUUU